rnacentral:rRNA from 1 species
AUUGAACGCUGGCGGCAGGCCUAACACAUGCAAGUCGAACGAGUGGCGGACGGGUGAGUAAUGUCUGGGAAACUGCCUGCUGGCGGGGGCUACCUACUGGAAACGGUAGCUAAUACCGCAUACCCUCAGAUGUGCCCAGAAGGGAUUAGCUAGUAGGUGUGGUAAAGGCUAACGAAGGCGACGAUACCUAGCUGGUCUGAGAGGAGGACCAGACACACUGGAACUGAGACACGGUCCAGACUCCUACGGGAGGCAGCAGUGGGGAAUAUUGCACAAUGGGCGCAAGCCUGAUGCAGCCAUGCCGCGUGUAUGAAGAAGGCCUUCGGGUGGGAAAGUACUUUCAGCGGGGAGGCGUUACCCGCAGAAGAAGCACCGGCUAACUCCGUGCCAGCAGCCGCGGUAAUAC